GCCUAGGAAGACCCAUAGCUCAGAGGGAGAGCAUCUGCUUUGCAUGUAGAAGGCCAGGGUUCAAUCCCUCAGCCACCUCAGUUAGGGCU